GCCCGGGUGGCGAAAUUGGUAGACGCAGGGGACUCAAAAUCCCCCGCCGCAAGGCGUGCCGGUUCGAGUCCGGCCCCGGGCACCA
rnacentral:tRNA from 2 species